rnacentral:lncRNA from 1 species
GAAAUAAGAAUAUACAAUCACAAACAACUUCUGUUAUCUAGAGUUUUAUAAAGUAGUGUUUCUUGAAAGCCUCCAAUUAAAUUUUCACAAGCUAUUUUGUUGGGCACUUGAAAUUCUGUAACUCUGACUGCUACAUAUCCAGGUAAUACUAGUUCAAACUGUAUAGACGUAUAAUUUUCUUUGACCUCACUUAAAUAAUAGAACUUUUGCUCCUUUGUAGUCCCUUGUCUGCAAAUGUAAGCAUUCAAAAUAGUAAAGAAUAUUGAAUUGGUCGAAAAAGAUCAAGUUUCAGUUCUUCCUUUUUCAAUUUCAAUAAUUUAUGCAAUUUGAUGUAAUCUGGCACUGAAGAUUUGACAUCAUAAAUCUUAAAUAGUAACAAUUUCCUGAAGCAGGUAUUCAGUUUUGUAAAUAUAAAUGAGACCUUGAUGCAUGCAUCAAGUCUUUCAGAAUAAAAUCUGUAAGAUAAUAAUACAUAUGAGAGAGAUAGUCAUGGUUUUCUUUUCUUCUUUCUCUCUCUGUCUUUUUUCCCGAGAUUGUGCGUAGGGGGCAGUGGGGCAACAAUGUAGAAUUUUUUUCUGGGAUUCCGAAUGGCACACCAGUUGUUUGGGAACUUUCAAUUUUAGAUCAGUAAUAAUUCCAACAAUGCUCCAGUCUGGCACACUUGAAAUGGAGGAUGUUGAAGGAAAAAGGAUUUCAACAUCUUGUCGUUUACCAAAUACUGCAGCAAUUUCAAUUGGCUCCAUCAGCCCGUCCUGAAAUUUACAGGGCAAAAGAACAAGAAAAGAGAAAGAUGAGUUUCAUAAGGCAUGCAACAUCAUCUUACACUCUGUACAGCACAACAAUGUUUCCCAACAUGUUAGUAUUCUGCUGGUAUUCAAGCAC